GACGAACGCUGGCGGCGUGCUUAACACAUGCAAGUCGAACGGAAAGGCCCUGCUUUUGUGGGGUGCUCGAGGGGCGAACGGGUGAGUAACACGUGAGUAACCUGCCCUUGACUUUGGGAUAACUUCAGGAAACUGGGGCUAAUAACGGAUAGGAGCUCCUGCUGCAUGGUGGGGGUUGGAUAGGUUGGGCGGUUGGGGAUGGACUCGUGGCUUAUCAGCUUGUUGGUGGGGUAGUGGCUUACCAAGGCUUUGACGGGUGGCCGGCCUGAGAGGGUGACCGGCCACAUUGGGACUGAGAUACGGCCCAGACUCCUACGGGAGGCAGCAGUGGGGAAUAUUGCACAAUGGGCGGAAGCCUGAUGCAGCAACGCCGCGUGCGGGAUGACGGCCUUCGGGUUGUAAACCGCUUUCGCCUGUGACGAAGCGUGAGUGACGGUAAUGGGUAAAGAAGCACCGGCUAACUACGUG
rnacentral:rRNA from 1 species